CAACACCUCCCGGGGAGGCAGAGGGGACGGGAGAUGCUGCCGGGGAUGCAGGAGGCGGCCGCGGGGCUGGGAGCCCACCUCGGGGCGGAGGAGAUAAGGAGAUUUGACUAGCAGAUUCCCCAGGCUGAACCCCUCCGCCGGGCUGAAUUUAGCAGCAGCAAAGAUAACCAGGAGAUAAGGACUGAUACCCGGGAGGACAGCGGGAGACCGGCAGGCAGCUGAGGGAAGGGGGAGAAGCCGGAGGCAGAGUCCCGUGGCGCUUUGGGAAUGGGCAGCUGUGUAUCCAGAUAUGCUGUAUUUCCAGAGGACAAACAUUGCUCUCCACUCGUUUCAAAAAUCUCUGGCGAUUCUUUUCUCUGCCAAAGAAGCACGAACGGAUUUUCUAAAGUUUGAUGAAUUUCUACUGAAAAUCAGCAUCUUCUGCUUUUUUUUUUUUUUUUUUUUUUUAAGCAAACAUUUAAUUAAAUCCAUUCCAAAAUGCCCAAGCAGCCUGUGUCUUCGCUGCCGUUGCCAGGAGUGGAGAAAAUUUCAAGGACCUGCCUGCCUUUGCUUUAUCACGCAGCCUUUUCCAGGAUCCCGAUGUGUUAGCUGCACGGCCAGGAGGAUCUCAAGAGUAAUCGCAAAAUUCCUCUGACAGGUUUUGUGCGUGUGUGGCCGGAUCCAGCUACUUUCAGCCGGGAAAUAUUAGUCCUUGUUGCAAAGCACAGCCGCGGAGCCUAGAGAUGAACCCCUCCGUGGUGCGAAUCGGGCGAAUUAACAGUCAGGAGGGAGCUGGUGUAUCUCGGAAACGUUUUUCCUUAUUUCCUAAAUGUGCGAAAAAGCAGAGAAUUGGACAUAGCAGAGUUCAGCGGGGCGACAACAACAACAAAAAAAUCUCUGCCCUCCGCUCGGAGAAUUUCUUUCCUGUGAUCUCAAAAUGCGUUUUCCUGAAAAUCGGCUAACGAAAUCAUGAUAAACAUAGCACUGUAAAACAAA